CCUACGGGUGGCAGCAGUGGGGCAUAUUGCGCAAUGGGCGAAAGCCUGACGCAGCGACGCCGCGUGAGGGAUGAAGGUCUUCGGAUCGUAAACCUCUGUCAGCAGGGAAGAACGGUCACUGUGCUAAUCAGCAGUGAAUUGACGGUACCUGCAAAGGAAGCACCGGCUAACUCCGUGCCAGCAGCCGCGGUAAUCCGGGGGGUGCGAGAGUUAAUCGGAAUUACUGGGCGUAAAUCGCUCGUAGGCGGUAUGUAAAGUCAAGGGUGAAAUCCCCGCGCUCAACGUGGGAACUGCCUUUGAAACUGGCGAACUGGAGUGGGUGAGAGGAUAGUGGAAUGCCAGGUGUAGGAGUG
rnacentral:rRNA from 1 species